rnacentral:rRNA from 1 species
GACGAACGCUGGCGGCGUGCUUAACACAUGCAAGUCGAACGGAAAGGCCCGGCGUUUGUGGGGUGCUCGAGAGGCGAACGGGGGAGUAACACGUGAGUAACCUGCACUUGACUUUGGGAUAACUUCAGGAAAAUGGGGCGAAUAUAGGAUAGGAGCUUCUGAAGCAUGGUGGGGGUUGGAAAGUUGCGGCGGUGGGGGAUGGACUCGCGGCUUAUCAGCUGGAUGGUCAGGUAGGUGCAUCCCAACGCUGUGACGGGUAGGCCGCCUGAGAGGGUGACCGGGCACCAUGCGCCUGAGAUACGGCCCAGAAUCCAACGGUACGCAGUAGUCGAGAAUAUUGCGCAAUGGGCGGAAGUCAGAUACAGCAACGCCCCGUGCGUGAUACUGGGCUACUAGUUAUAAACCGCUUUCGCCGUUGCCGUACACUGAGUGACGGUAACGAGUCAGGAAGCACCGGCUAACUACGUG